rnacentral:tRNA from 1 species
CGGGUGUAGCGCAGUUGGUAGCGCGCAUGGUUCGGGACCAUGAGGCCGUGGGUUCAAAUCCCGCCACUCGGACCA